UACGUAGGGUGCGAGCGUUAAUCGGAAUUACUGGGCGUAAAGCGCACGUAGGCGGCUCAGCAAGUCAGGGGUGAAAUCCCGGGGCUCAACCCCGGAACUGCCCUUGAAACUGCUAAGCUAGAAUCUUGGAGAGGCGAGUGGAAUUCCGAGUGUAGAGGUGAAAUUCGUAGAUAUUCGGAAGAACACCAGUGGCGAAGGCGACUCGCUGGACAAGUAUUGACGCUGAGGUGCGAAAGCGUGGGGAGCAAACAGGG
rnacentral:rRNA from 1 species